UAAUCAUGCAAGUCGAGCGAACAGACGAGGAGCUUGCUCCUCUGACGUUAGCGGCGGACGGGUGAGUAACACGUGGAUAACCUACCUAUAAGACUGGGAUAACUUCGGGAAACCGGAGCUAAUACCGGAUAAUAUAUUGAACCGCAUGGUUCAAUAGUGAAAGACGGUUUUGCUGUCACUUAUAGAUGGAUCCGCGCCGCAUUAGCUAGUUGGUAAGGUAACGGCUUACCAAGGCAACGAUGCGUAGCCGACCUGAGAGGGUGAUCGGCCACACUGGAACUGAGACACGGUCCAGACUCCUACGGGAGGCAGCAGUAGGGAAUCUUCCGCAAUGGGCGAAAGCCUGACGGAGCAACGCCGCGUGAGUGAUGAAGGUCUUCGGAUCGUAAAACUCUGUUAUUAGGGAAGAACAAAUGUGUAAGUAACUAUGCACGUCUUGACGGUACCUAAUCAGAAAGCCACGGCUAACUACGUGCCA
rnacentral:rRNA from 1 species